UACGUAGGGGGCAAGCGUUGUCCGGAUUUAUUGGGCGUAAAGCGCGUGUAGGCGGCCAGAUAGGUCUGCUGUGAAAACUCGAGGCUCAACCUCGAGCUGUCGGCGGAAACCAUCUGGCUAGAGUCCGGAAGAGGAGAGUGGAAUUCCUGGUGUAGCGGUGAAAUGCGCAGAUAUCAGGAAGAACACCAAUGGCGAAAGCAGCUUUCUGGGACGGUACUGACGCUGAGACGCGAAAGCGUGGGGAGCGAACAGG
rnacentral:rRNA from 1 species